GCAGGCAAUCCCCUCCUGCCCUCCCCAUUAUCCCAGUUCUAACAUCAAGUAGGUCUUUGUGGUAUUAAAAUGAUUGACAGGGUAGAAUUUUACAAGUGGAAAUGGCCAAGAAUGACAUCUCCAACGGAAAGGACAGCAGCAUGGGCAAAGACAGAGAAUUUGCCUCUGGCCUUAGCAACACCUCGUUUCGUCUGGCUUGAGUUGCUUCGAGCUGUUCUGCACCCUGCACAUGUGGCCAUGAAGGAGACUCGCUCCUUGCUCUACUGAGGCCUUGGUUCAGGUCCACAUCCCCAACUCAGUCCCAAUAUAAGCCACAUCCAGUCCGCCUCACAGACAAGCAGAGGCCUGUGCCCAGCCAGCAGACCCCUGUGGAAUCAUAAGGCCAGCUGUUUGUGUUACUUGCAGGAGCCUGUCCCUGGAGGUUCCUCAGACUCCCAUGCACAUAUGGUUGGCAGCCUGACAGUCAUGUUGUCCACAUACAUGGCUUUUUGGUAAUUGAAGAGCCAUCUCCAGAUCAGGAAGCAGAUCACAAGAGGGGUCACACAGAGCACAGAGGAACGUCCUUUCACAGCACCAUGGCUGGAAUGCAGUGUUUCAGCUACGCUCCUAGAGCUGGACGCCCCAGUCUCCCAGCAUCCCCUGGUGGAAAAAGAGGGGCACCGUCCUCAUAAGGACCUCACCUACCUGUGUGUCGUCCUCCAUUUCUCGGCUGAGCUAAAGCCUCCAAGGACCUUCUUGGGGCUCCGGUGAACAUCUGUUCUGCUUCCAUCCCCACCCACCUGGCAUGGAGCUGGGGCUACGGGACUCCUGUCUCCACCACUGUUGUGAAUCAGAAGUCAGGGAACGGCACCAGAUCACAACCCAAGGAGAGAGUCUGCAUCCUUCCAGGUGACCUCCUUCACCACGACAUUGGCUCUGCCCACACAGAGACCUCUUCCAGCUUUGGCCUUCAGGAAGCUAACAGGAG